rnacentral:lncRNA from 1 species
CCUUCCUUUUCUUUCCUCUAGGCCUGCUUGAAGCCAUUUAGGAAACCUUUGCUGAGAGCCUCCAUCAGAGCUCCUCCCGCAAACUCUGCUGGAAACAGAAAUAGGAAGUUUAUGGUAUUAUUUACC